UACGUAGGGGGCGAGCGUUGUCCGGAAUUACUGGGCGUAAAGGGUGCGUAGGCGGUUGCUUAAGUUGGAUGUGAAAUACCCGGGCUUAACUUGGGGGGUGCAUUCAAAACUGGGCGACUAGAGUUCAGGAGAGGGAAGCGGAAUUCCUAGUGUAGCGGUGAAAUGCUUAGAUAUCACGAAGAACCCCGAUUGCGAAGGCAGCCUGCUAAGCCGCCACUGACGUUGAGGCUCGAAAGUGCGGGUAUCAAACAGG
rnacentral:rRNA from 1 species